UACAGAGGGUGCAAGCGUUGCUCGGAAUCAUUGGGCGUAAAGGGUAGGUAGGUGGUCUCGUUUGUCUGGGGUGAAAGCCCAGGGCUUAACCCUGGAAGUGCCCCAGAAACGGCGAGACUAGAGUAUUGGAGAGGGUCGUGGAAUUCCCGGUGUAGUGGUGAAAUGCGUAGAGAUCCGGAGGAACACCGACGGCGUAGGCAGCGCCCUGGACGACACCUGACGCUGAGGCACGAAAGCUGGGGGGAGCAAACAGG
rnacentral:rRNA from 1 species